GCCCGGGAUGGAAUUCAGGUGGCAGCUGAAGCCGGAGAGGAACCAGCUGCUCUGCUCCCUGAGCCAGGCCGUGGGGCACCGAGCCAGGCUCGGCAGGAUGGGCUCCAACGUGCAUCCUCGCAGGCAGCAGGGCGUCGGAGGGCCGCAUGAACUGUAUUUCAAGAAUCUUUCCAAACAAAAACAAAUCAUGGAGAAGAAUGGGAACAACCGAAAACUUCGGGUUUGCGUUGCUACUUGCAACCGAGCUGAUUAUUCAAAAUUAGCUCCUAUUAUGUUUGGCAUUAAGGCGGAACCACAGUUCUUUGAACUUGAUGUAGUGGUGCUUGGCUCCCAUCUGAUUGAUGACUAUGGUAACACCUACCGUAUGAUUGAACAAGACGACUUUGACAUUCACACGAGGUUGCACACCAUAGUGAGAGGCGAGGACGAGGCAGCCAUGGUGGAGUCGGUAGGCCUUGCAUUAGUAAAGCUACCAGAUGUCCUCAACCGUCUGAAACCUGACAUAGUGAUUGUUCAUGGGGACAGAUUUGAUGCUCUGGCACUGGCCACAUCUGCAGCCUUGAUGAAUAUUCGGAUUCUUCAUAUUGAAGGCGGGGAAGUCAGUGGGACCAUAGAUGACUCAAUCAGACAUGCCAUAACCAAACUGGCUCAUUUCCAUGUGUGUUGCACAAGAAGUGCAGAGCAGCAUUUGAUAUCCAUGUGUGAAGACCAUGAUCGCAUCCUCUUGGCUGGCUGUCCCUCAUAUGACAAGCUUCUCUCCUCCAAAAACAAAGACUACAUGAGUAUUAUACGUAUGUGGAUAGGUGAAGAUGUAAAAACAAGAGAUUAUAUAGUCGCUCUGCAGCACCCUGUGACCACGGAUAUUAAACAUUCCAUAAAGAUGUUUGAACUAACGUUGGACGCACUCAUCUCCUUUAACAAAAGGACACUAGUUCUGUUCCCAAACAUUGAUGCAGGAAGCAAAGAGAUGGUUCGGGUGAUGAGGAAGAAGGGCAUUGAGCAUCAUCCCAAUUUUCGAGCAGUAAAGCAUGUUCCGUUUGAGCAGUUCAUCCAGUUAGUGGCACAUGCUGGCUGUGUGAUUGGUAACAGCAGCUGUGGUGUUCGAGAGGUGGGAGCGUUUGGAACCCCUGUCAUCAAUCUGGGAACACGUCAAAUAGGAAGAGAAACAGGCGAAAAUGUUCUUCAUGUUCGUGAUGCUGACACACAAGACAAAAUACUACAAGCUUUGCAUCUUCAAUUUGGAAAACAGUAUCCUUGCUCAAAAAUAUACGGGGAUGGUAAUGCUGUCCCAAGAAUUCUGAAGUUCCUCAAAUCUAUUGACCUCAAAGAGCCUCUGCAAAAGAAGUUCUGCUUCCCUCCUGUAAAGGAGAACAUCUCACAAGAUAUUGACCAUAUCCUAGAAACCCAGAGUGCCUUGGCUGUGGAUCUAGGUGGAACAAAUCUCCGGGUAGCGAUAGUCAGUAUGAAGGGUGAAAUAGUGAAGAAAUAUACCCAGCUCAAUCCUAAAACCUAUGAAGACAGAAUAGGAUUGAUUCUCAAGAUGUGUACGGAGGCUGCAUCAGAAGCUGUAAAUCUGAACUGCAGAAUUUUGGGAGUGGGUAUUUCUACAGGUGGACGGGUGAAUCCCCGAGAAGGAAUCGUGCUUCAUUCCACAAAGCUCAUUCAGGAGUGGAGUUCUGUUGAUCUGAGGACCCCGAUAUCUGACGCUCUGCACUUGCCAGUCUGGGUGGACAAUGAUGGCAACUGUGCUGCUCUGGCAGAGAGGAAAUUUGGGCAUGGAAAAGGCGUGGAAAGUUUUGUAACGCUAAUCACUGGUACAGGAAUUGGAGGUGGAAUCAUUCAUCAGCAUGAAUUGAUCCAUGGAAGUUCCUUUUGUGCUGCUGAACUCGGACACAUUGUGGUGUCUCUAGAAGGACCAGAGUGCCUGUGUGGUAGCCAUGGAUGUAUAGAAGCAUAUGCCUCUGGAAUAGCCUUGCAGAGAGAAGCUAAAAAACUACAUGAUGAGGAUCUGUUGUUAGUGGGCGGAAUGUCAGUGAAGACGGAAGAGACCAUUAGUGCUGUGCAUCUCAUUCAGGCAGCUAAACUUGGGAAUGCAAAGGCUGACAGCAUUCUCAGAACAGCUGGGACAGCUCUAGGCCUUGGAGUAGUGAAUAUCCUGCACACCAUGAACCCCUCGCUGGUGAUCCUUUCUGGAGUUUUAGCAGGCCAUUACGUUAACAUCGUCAAAGAUGUGAUCCGCCGGCAGGCUUUGUUCUCUGCUGAGACAGUGGAUGUGGUAGUCUCAAAUCUGGCUGACCCUGCUCUGCUUGGAGCUGCUAGCCUGGUGCUAGAUUACAGUACACGCCGAAUAUACUAGCUGGACUACAGCAGUGCAAUAGCCCUGGGCAUGAAGCCAUCAGCACUCAGGAAACUCCAGCUGGUACAGAACACGGUAGCACAUUGCCUUGGAAACCCAGGCUACCACAAGCACAUCUGCUCCCUAAACCAGCUUCCUGAUAUGGAAUACUCAAUCAUGUUCAAGGUCGUGGCUCUUACCUUCAAGGUGCUCCGUGGCUUGAGCCCAAGGUAUUGAAAAGAGUGCCUAAAGUUCUGGUAUGAAGAUCAUGAUUGACAACUGCGCUCCUCUGGCACAAUGAAACUUUCAACCCUACAUGUCAAGCAGGAGACACAGCCUUCUCACAAGCCAGCCAGGGACUGGAGCAGACUCUAUAAGAACUGAGACUAUAACAAACCUCCCCAGCUUCUGCUCCAAGCAUCAGAGGCAUUUCUUGUACCAUGUCUUCUCUAACAUAAACAUGCACCCCCACCCCACCUUUCCAGUAUAUCUGAGUGUGUGCUAGUAUAAAACGUCCAGAACAAAACACACUUCUCUGCAUCGCGGCGGGAUGAGAAAACCACCAUGUGACAGAGGUUAGUCCCUGCGCUGGAAGGUGCACUGAUACUAUGGGGCUGAGCACCUAUAUAGAACAGACUAGCUGACUGUAGCACCUCGUCCAGGGUGGAGAGCUUUCAGCUCCCUGUAUGGCUCUGUCCUGUUAUGAGGAGAACAUGCAAUCUCCCCUCCAGCUUGCUCCUGAAUGAGCAGCCCUGCGUCCUCUCUGUCAUCUUCAGCCACCAAAACUGCCUGCGAAUGGACAGGCUCCCGCCUCCAUUCUAGUCUGCAAGAAUGCCGCUGCAGCUCUCAAUGGAAUGACAUUGCUCAAAGCCAGCACCAAGAACCAGCCCAUCGCCCAGCCCCAUGGGAAGUUUUUAUUUAUCUCAGACAAAGGCUUCUCUUGCCUCAGAAAAACUUCCCUUGUGGGGACCUCACAGUGUGUCCUUCCUUGAUCCCUCCUGAAAUCUUCAGCAGGGAGCCCCCUAGAUAUAUGGGCUUGCAGCUUUUCUCCAAGGCCCCUUCAGCCCAGCCCUAUGGUAGCCUCUCAGGACCAGCUUUCAUCCGGUUUCUGCAGACAUUGAAAAAGCCAGAAACACUCUAGCGAGGAGUCAGGAACUAUUGAAGGAAGUGACAGGGAUCCCUCCCUCCCACUCCACUAGCUCAGAACUUUAAACACACCAGAGAGCUCUGAGGCUCUGAGCAGCAUCUCUGUGCUUAAUCCUGAAAGCUGGAACUCUUGAGCAGCAAGGCCCUAGAGUAGUAUGGCUGGGGCCACAGUGUCUUCCGUGCAGGGCCCUCAGCCAUGCCAUUGGCUUCCCCCAGCUCCCUGAGACUUUGCUACCCUUCAGGGCCUUGCAAGGGUGGGGAGGGGCUAGUUUUCUUUUGUGUCACGCUAACAUGUUAACUGAGAGUGGUCUUUGCGGGACGGGGGUUAAAUAUUAUUUCAGGUACCCCUGGAGAACUUGCACCAGAUGCUCAGUACAAACUGGAGAAGAAAUGUAAGCCCAAGCCUCCGCAUCCCUAGGCGAGGUCUGAAAAACAUCUCCAGCGUGCUCCCGGACACCAUACCAGGGAGAACACCCCUGUCUGAGGACAGACCUCCAAAGAGGCAGUUCAACGUGAUGGCAUCAUGCAUGGAUGUGCAACCAUGGCCCAGACUUCUUCAAGGCUGUUUGGGAGUUCAUCCUGCUUGGAAUAUGGACAGUGGGUUUCCCUACCAGUGGAAGUCAGAAAGACACUCUUGUGAAGGCCAGUCACAGCUGGGGAGAAGGGCCAAGGGUGCCAGCUGUGCAAUUAGCCUUCCUGGAACUCUAUAAAUAACACGUGUGUUGUGGAGUAGCAGAUCUGAACCACAAGCACUUUGCUGCAGCAGGAGGCACUGCCCCCCAUGUGUGGGCAGAGGGCACAGUCAAGCCCCUGGGAGCCAGGCAUGUGACGUGGGCACUGGACACCAGAGCAAAGAGAAGAGUCUCUGCCCAGUUAAACAUUCCAGUUAGCAACACAAGAAUACGGCACUGAGACUUUAGACUGCAACUGAAGGCUCAGGUACUUUGCAGAGGUGCUGUGUUCUGUUCUCUCAGACCGCCAGUAUCUAUCCCAGAAUGACACUGACCGCACCAGACGUGCCCAGUGAUGGUCACUGUUCUCUGUGAAGGAAACAAUCAAGAUUCUACACCUUCUUCCAAUGAGACCAAGCUACGUGCAGGGCUCAGGGUGGCCUCCAAGCCUGGUGGGCUUCUUCUCCUCUGCCCCGCCCCCCUUUUUUUAAUAGAAAUAGGACACUUCGCAGCGGCUGGGGGAUGUGCUGAACAAUUCCCUAGGAGCAUCCCCUCGACAAACAGCGGUGCUGUGAACGGGGUAGAAAUGGCUGCAUGUGAGAGCCUGUCUGCGCUUCAGCAAAGUCCUCUCUCAGCCGCAGCUUGAUGGACACCAUGUCACCCAGCGCUACGUGGUCCAAGGUACACAGCUGUACUGAACCUGAUGUACAAGUGAGAGGGCAUGGUGUCCACUGAGGCCUGGGUCGCCCAGGCUGUUGCAGACCAGAACCUCAGUGAAGACCUUGUUCAGCGUAAGGUCCCUCCCAACAUGGGUGGUUUCACUGCUGCUUGGUGCAUACCUAGAGCACAUCAGAACUAAAGCCAAGGAAGGAGCCAUGGAGUUUAGUGAUUGUGUGGGACCGAAAAAAAGAAAAAACUGGAAUGGGAGGGAGGGUGGAUGAUAGGGUCAAAACAAGAGCAUGGGUUGGGCACACCGAGCAGAGAAGCUGGCGUAGCACCCACCACUCUGCAAAGGCACCUAAAGUGUCAGGGGCCACUGCACAGGCUGUGGGAUAGGCAGGCUCCACAGUCACAGAGAACAUCCCUGGUGAGCUCCCUCCUCCUAGGGUUGGGGAUGGCCAGUUGGGUCAGUGGCAGGAAGGUGACAAGGAGGCCUUGUGCCUGUAGCAUGGUGUGCACAGAUAAGGAGAGGUGGGGAGAAGUGCAGCCAGAACCUCAGCAGGAGGAGCCCACGGCUCCAGGAAGGAGCUGCUGAUUUAUGAACUGGGCAGGCCAUGGAAGCACAGCACUUAAUGCAAGAUGGGCCCUGCAGUAGCCAAACAUGUUAGUGUGGCCUGUGCUCCAGGUUAUCAUCCUUAAACCAGCCUUGCAAAAGCACCCUGCACAAAAUGGCCUUGCCUUGUCUCUGCCCCAUGCUUAGGAAUGGGGAAGCUGCCAGGACUGGACCCUCUUGUCACCUCUCAGGGGUGUGGAUGGUAGGAGUUGCGAGGCUGCUUUAAACAUUGUCAGGCCCUUUGUGUUAGCUUGAGUGUAAUUGCUGGGUCCAGUUGUAAUAUAUGAGGCUGCAGUGUUGGUAUCCCCAUGAGUGGGGGAGAGAGGCCAAUGGUGCUCCAUAGUGCCACCUGCUGCUGGGCCAGGAAUAGCACCGAAAGGGCUUGUUAUGAUGGUAAAAGGCAGAGGAGGAGCUAUUAUUUCAUAAAUUGUGUGUGGUGGGGGGAAUAAGGGCUGAAGGAAGGUUUGAUCAGACCUGGGAUUUCUUGACACCCCCCCUACCCCCCAACACAAAGUUUCUUCCCUUUUGGUGAACCUACUGAAGGGGUAUUGCUGGGCAGCACUAGGGGAUACACACAGUGGCAUGCUAGUAAAGAUCCAACAUCUCAAAAGUGCCUAAAUCCCAUUGAUUUCAAUACUAGUGAGGGGCUUAGGUGCUUUAGAAAAUGCCACCUGCUGUCUAUCUGGUUCCUCAGGCACCUAAAUACCUUUAAAAAUCUGGCCCCCUGUGACUUGGGCACUUUUAAAAAUGAGACUGAAACAGUUACUCUGUGAUGAUUGGGUCCCUAGCACUGAGCAGGAGCUGAUAUGUCAGUGCAGCUGCUACAAACAUUCUCCUGGGCUUUUCCCUUUAGAAAUCACUGAGGUUGCACAGAAAAGUCUCUUCAACUAAAUAAUUGGGUGGGGCUUUGCUAUAAGAAGAUGGUUCAGCUUUUGAAUGGUCUUAAAGCACUUUCCAAUGAAUUGCCAAGCUAGUAUGCCUGAAUUACAGCACAUUAGAAGGCAUUGUUGCACUUGAAUUAGAAACAAAAAAAAAAAGUGUCAAGCUCACAACCCUUAGCAAGUAAUAUGGGGAUGAGUUUUCCCUUGUGAAAUGAGAGCUUUGUGUCAUAUCUGGUGUGUGGGAUGCCGUGGAGUCUGUGCAUUGUGACAGACUCUGCAUGUAUUGAUUGUGUAUCUCCAUAGAAUUUUCAAGCAGUUGCAGGUAAAGUCCUUAGUCAUCAAUGUUAGAGAACUGUUGAUGCUACACUGAGCUUCUACAAGGAACGUUCCUUUUUUAGACCAGCACCAGCCUUAUGUAGUAAAAAUAUGCUAGGAACUCCAGUGAAAAUACUGAAGACAAACAGUCCUUGUCUAAUUAAAGCUGUUUUAAAUAGGUGCACCACCUGUAACUUAAUUAGUAAUGAGAAUAAAUUAAGUACCACAGGACUCUCUGCUGAGAAUAAAUUAGAUUCUCCUUACCAAUGAAGGUACCUCCUACACAUAGUAAAAGCCUGUACUGGUGUCCCCCCCAUUUCUAUAUAGCAACUCAGUUGAAAACUGGAUUAGGAGGAUUGCUCACUCUUAUGAGUGGAUUUACUCUCAUUCACACUGGUUAUCUUCCUACUGUUUAUUGUAAUUAUACUUUAGGGUUUCUGGGUACUUGUUAAACUUUCAGUUGUUGUCUGGGUAGUUCACACAUUUUAAUUGUAAGGUUGCAUGAACUGGAACACUGCCAGAGCUGUACUUUGUAACAGCCACACUGACUGGAGAUUCAAAAUGAAGUUUUAAACAAACACACAUGGACUUUAAGUUUUUUAAUUGCUUAAUAAAGAUUAAGCAUUAUUCCUUCCUUGUA